UGCUGUCAGGGGCCUGGGGCCUUAAGUGGGGGUACAACUUCCACCUCCUAUGUGCUCUGUGAAAGUGCAUUUUGGUGGAGUACAUAGCUGGAUACAUAGGUGCGAUGUCCAUUUUGUAGGCUGAUCAACCCAUCCUAUACUUGGUUGCUGACUGACAAGGCCCUAACACGGUGUGCUGUGCUGCACAGAUUGCACGACGACUCUGUCGUGCCAAAUUUAUGCCUAAUUCGGUGGAAUUAGCUGAUGAUCAUGUAAGAAACUUAGGUCUGGUGACACUUAUUUUGUUUAUCUGCCAGCUUUAGUUUUAAGAGAUGCAAAGGAAGCUUUGCCUCGUGCUUACGGCAGACCUUAUGUAAAUCAUUUGCUAACUACUGUCACGAUGCUAAAUGUAUUUUGAACUGUGGGAAUCC
rnacentral:sRNA from 1 species